ACUGCAAUUGUUAGAACUUGGAGUUUAGGCUGCUGGCUGGCCAGUGAACUCAUGAGUAUAGGUAGUGUACUACAUGACCCAUGAGUCUUUCACUAUCACCACAAGGGUCUCUGGACCAAUGAGUGGAGUUGACAGUAAUUCUUGCUACAGGU